UGGCAACCAAUCGGCUCCACCAUCACAACUGAUGGGUAAAGACGUACGACUAUACUAAUUAUAAUGUUUUCUCUUCUUGUUCUCUUGUCUUUUAUUUAUAAAUAACUAGAUAAGACCCGCCUAAAUAGGCGGGUGUAAGAUGUAAAUGUAAUUUUUAUCGAUAAUAUUUAAAUUUUGAAUAGUAAAAUAAUAGUCGAUACAUUGUUCUUAUAAUUUUGAAUAGUAAAAUAGUAGUCUUAUGCAUUUUAUUUUGUUAUACCCAUUCAGUCUUAUUGAUGAUAUUUGAAGUCUAAAUAGUAACCUACACACUUUUUUAUAUUAUAAUUUAGUAUUUAGAAGAAAAAAUAAAUUUU
rnacentral:sRNA from 1 species